UACGUAGGCAGCGAGCGUUGUUCGGAGUUACUGGGCGUAAAGGGUGUGUAGGCGGUUUUCUAAGUCAGACGUGAAAUCCCUCGGCUCAACCGGGGAACUGCGUCUGAUACUGGAUGGCUUGAAUUCGGGAGAGGGAUGCGGAAUUCCAGGUGUAGCGGUGAAAUGCGUAGAUAUCUGGAGGAACACCGGUGGCGAAGGCGGCAUCCUGGACUGAGAUUGACGCUGAUGCGCGAAAGCCAGGGGAGCAAACGGG
rnacentral:rRNA from 1 species